AUGGAAUUAAGGGAAAAGCUGAGGAUCAAAGCCAGAACUUUAGUUUCUCCUUCCCCCGAACGUAGGGGCGGGACAGAACGUCCUCUGCCAUUUUAUUGGUGCGAGGGAGGAGAACGUGUGAUCGGCGAAAAUGAUUGGCUAAGCUAGCGGAGGGGGGAGUGUUUAAAGUCUGGGAAUUUCGCGCUAAAACUAAUUUCUCUUUGUGCUCGUAUCGUCGCUACUCCAGCUCCUCUCUAGAUUGUGUCUAAAUCGGACUAUAUACAUUUCUCAGCAGAAUCUUCUUAAAACAUCAUGAAAACCACAGAUAAUUUAUGCAAGAAGAAGUUUAUGCAGGACGUCCUUGAAGAUCUGGACACUUCUGAUCUGCAAAGUCUCCAAUCAAUAUUAAAUACAAAAGAAAUAAAUGGGACAACUAUUCCAAAAUCCAAAUUAGAGAAAAUAGAUCCUAUUAGCAUAGCUAAUGUGCUUAUUAGCUAUCAUGGGUCUGACUGUUUGGAGACACUUCGGGAUGCAUUGGCUGACAUUCCCAAGAAACAACUCGUCGAGAAAAUUUCUAAUAAAAUAGAAGAUGAUGAGCAUAAAGAAAAGCAGAAAACUGAAAGUCGAAAGGAAGAAAUUGAUGGUAUCCCAGCAAAGAAGCAAAAACUUCAGGACCUGCCAUCAUACA